CCUACGGGUGGCAGCAGUGAGGAAUAUUGGUCAAUGGACGAGAGUCUGAACCAGCCAAGUAGCGUGAAGGAUGACUGCCCUAUGGGUUGUAAACUUCUUUUAUAAAGGAAUAAAACGAGGCACGUGUGCCUUUUUGCAUGUACUUUAUGAAUAAGGAUCGGCUAACUCCGUGCCAGCAGCCGCGGUAAUACGGAGGAGCCGAGCGUUAUCCGGAUUUAUUGGGUUUAAAGGGAGCGUAGAUGGGUUGUUAAGUCAGUUGUGAAAGUUUGCGGCUCAACCGUAAAAUUGCAAUUGAUACUGGCAGUCGUGAGUACAGUUGAGGUAGGCGGAAUUCGUGGUGUAGCGGUGAAAUGCUUAGAUAUCACGAAGAACCCCGAUUGCGAAGGCAGCUUACUAAACUGUGACUGACAUUGAUGCUCGAAAGUGUGGGUAUCAAACAGGAUUAGAUACCCUUGUAGUC
rnacentral:rRNA from 1 species